rnacentral:rRNA from 1 species
CCUACGGGUGGCAGCCGUGAGGAAUAUUGGUCAAUGGACGAAAGUCUGAACCAGCCAAGUAGCGUGAAGGAUGACUGCCCUAUGGGUUGUAAACUUCUUUUAUAUGGGAAUAAAAUGUUCCACGUGUGGGCUUUUGUAUGUACCAUAUGAAUAAGGAUCGGCUAACUCCGUGCCAGCAGCCGCGGUAAUACGGAGGAUCCGAGCGUUAUCCGGAUUUAUUGGGUUUAAAGGGAGCGUAGGUGGAUUGUUAAGUCAGUUGUGAAAGUUUGCGGCUCAACCGUAAAAUUGCAGUUGAAACUGGCAGUCUUGAGUACAGUAGAGGUGGGCGGAAUUCGUGGUGUAGCGGUGAAAUGCUUAGAUAUCACGAAGAACUCCGAUUGCGAAGGCAGCUCACUGGACUGCAACUGACACUGAGGCUCGAAAGUGUGGGUAUCAAACAGGAUUAGAUACCCGAGUAGUC